rnacentral:rRNA from 1 species
GAUAUGUGAAUACAUAGCAUAUCAGAAGGCACACCCGGAGAACUGAAACAUCUUAGUACCCGGAGGAAGAGAAAGAAAAUUCGAUUCCCUUAGUAGCGGCGAGCGAAACGGGAAGAGCCCAAACCAACAAGCUUGCUUGUUGGGGUUGUAGGACACUCUAUACGGAGUUACAAAGGACGACAUUAGACGAAUCAUCUGGAAAGAUGAAUCAAAGAAGGUAAUAAUCCUGUAGUCGAAAAUGUUGUCUCUCUUGAGUGGAUCCUGAGUACGACGGAGCACGUGAAAUUCCGUCGGAAUCUGGGAGGACCAUCUCCUAAGGCUAAAUACUCUCUAGUGACCGAUAGUGAACCAGUACCGUGAGGGAAAGGUGAAAAGCACCCCGGAAGGGGAGUGAAAUAGAACCUGAAACCGUGUGCUUACAAGUAGUCAGAGCCCGUUAAUGGGUGAUGGCGUGCCUUUUGUAGAAUGAACCGGCGAGUUACGAUUUGAUGCAAGGUUAAGCAGUAAAUGUGGAGCCGUAGCGAAAGCGAGUCUGAAUAGGGCGUUUAGUAUUUGGUCGUAGACCCGAAACCAGGUGAUCUACCCUUGGUCAGGUUGAAGUUCAGGUAACACUGAAUGGAGGACCGAACCGACUUACGUUGAAAAGUGAGCGGAUGAACUGAGGGUAGCGGAGAAAUUCCAAUCGAACCUGGAGAUAGCUGGUUCUCUCCGAAAUAGCUUUAGGGCUAGCCUCAAGUGAUGAUUAUUGGAGGUAGAGCACUGUUUGGACGAGGGGCCCCUCUCGGGUUACCGAAUUCAGACAAACUCCGAAUGCCAAUUAAUUUAACUUGGGAGUCAGAACAUGGGUGAUAAGGUCCGUGUUCGAAAGGGAAACAGCCCAGACCACCAGCUAAGGUCCCAAAAUAUAUGUUAAGUGGAAAAGGAUGUGGCGUUGCCCAGACAACUAGGAUGUUGGCUUAGAAGCAGCCAUCAUUUAAAGAGUGCGUAAUAGCUCACUAGUCGAGUGACACUGCGCCGAAAAUGUACCGGGGCUAAACAUAUUACCGAAGCUGUGGAUUGUCCUUUGGACAAUGGUAGGAGAGCGUUCUAAGGGCGUUGAAGCAUGAUCGUAAGGACAUGUGGAGCGCUUAGAAGUGAGAAUGCCGGUGUGAGUAGCGAAAGACGGGUGAGAAUCCCGUCCACCGAUUGACUAAGGUUUCCAGAGGAAGGCUCGUCCGCUCUGGGUUAGUCGGGUCCUAAGCUGAGGCCGACAGGCGUAGGCGAUGGAUAACAGGUUGAUAUUCCUGUACCACCUAUAAUCGUUUUAAUCGAUGGGGGGACGCAGUAGGAUAGGCGAAGCGUGCGAUUGGAUUGCA